rnacentral:lncRNA from 1 species
GGGGGCCAAGGUGGAGGCUGAAUUGGAAAACAAAAACCAGGUUUGCAUACUACGUAUGUCUCCGCAGUGUCCUGCUGCAUGCUGCUCGUUUUUUGUUUUUUUUUUUUUUUUCUACUAGUUUUCUAGGAGUUUAUACUACGUAGUAAGACAGUUUGAGACAGGGCCGGAGAACUCAACCCUCUUUUUGUUUAAAUAGAAACUUCAGCUGAUGGUGCAAUCUGAUCUUGUCAUCUCGAAAUGUGAUACGUGAUAGAUCUUGCUCAACACGAUGGUCUCCCGAUGAAGCACACUUUUGAGUAUCUCAUAUCCAAGGUUUGUAUUGUGGAUGUUGUUGACUCGGGGUAAAAACUGUAUUCCUCCUGAUUGUGAAUCCGACUCGCCCAUACUACAGAGUAUGCCAUAUUAUAGCCACCGAGGCCGAGCUUGUGAGUUACUAGCUACAUAUUGUUUUUUCCAGUUGCUUCUUUGAGCUCGAGCGCGCUGUUGGUUAUCGACUUAAUGUUGUAACGUCCUAUCGUUGCUCUCGGAGGAUAAACGUCCAGACGUAUUACUAUUACCAACAGAGUCAGAGUCUUGACAUUUCUUGGUAUUUGAUGUGUCGAUUUUUGCUGACGCUAAUAUGUUGGUCUCCUGAACAGACCGUGGCAGUACGGUUGGCAUCUGUGAGCCGUUCUCCUCUUCUUGCCAUGUGUAUGGCAUAUGCAUGCUGGAUACGACAGAGUAAGAACGUCAAGACAGACCCAGGAAAGAUAACUACAUUAACUUGCUCGGUAAUCCGGAUGAUGGCGCCACCUGCCCAAAGCCAAGCCACUACUCCUAUGGGCGAAUUUAGGCAUUAACUGGCCGAUGGAGCCCGGACCAGCGCAGCGCCUGUGGUUGGCUGAGCUAUUCGUUCCUGAAAAUCGUCCGGCGUUCGAUAGUGUGUCCUUGUCCUUGUCGGUGCUUGACUUUCUUGCAAACUGUUCGCUAUGUACGCCAUGGCUUACCACCACCCACUAUUCUGGUCCCCUUUUUGGGCUGCCGUGGAGUUAAAUCGCUUAAUUGUAUUCAAGAUUCAGUCCACAACUCAACCACUUCGUAUUCUUCAAAGAGAAAAGCCGACUGUUAUACUCCGUACAAAGCCAUGGAUGUCGAUCUCUUGCCAGGUUGGGGGUGGAAUUGAAACCAACAGCCUUGGCAGGUUCUCGUCCGCGACGAGCAUCUGUUGGCGCGGAUCUCGCUGGGCCCAAGUUGAGAUGUUUUGUGUCGGUUCAACUUUUGAGGCGGUGCGGAGCCCCUAAGUGACUUGGUCUACUACUACCGUACGUAGUACAUGUACGAGAGUACUAGCCUUUAAAGAGCAUUGGAACAGCAGGCCUCGCCUCGGGAUAAGAGGAGCGCCUCUGCAUUCUCAUUCUUGUUCUUAUUCUUAUUUUUGCUUUUGCUCUGCACACAAUUCGACUUGAGUCGAAUGUGCCUAGGUAGGGAUUAGAACGGACGUAGCUACCUCAAUUGAUGCAUCCCGCGAUUCCAGCCUGUACACAUCUUGUUUGGUGCGCCAGGCGACAAGUCCAGCGUGCUGAGAAUCCCGGAAUAUAUAUCAUUGAUUGAUGUGUCGAAACUCAAAGUGUAAACUUCGUGCCGUCCUCCACGGGCUCAAAACUUAGAGAAAAAACAAAUGUGCCCGACACAAAGAGUGAGUACUCAGUCCAACAUUUGGAAUGAUCGCAACAAAGAAAGAGGCUUGGUCAAUAGUCUUCUGUAAAGUUCAUACUACCAUGGCCGUGCUCGGCAUGCCAGAGAAAUAGGACAACACAAACUUUGAAUUUGAACUCGAGUGAUAGACAAAGAGCUUUGUAUUGGCUUUUUACAGCGCGUUAUCGUGUUGGCGCGAGAUAACAAUGCCUAAGUAGCAAGCAGAUCCUGGUUGAAGUUGAUGAACAAUUCCUAAUACUCACUUAACUACGGAGUAACUAACCAUUCAAUGAUAGUCAAGAUGACUAAGCGUUGCCAUGACAACUUUGUUGUGGUUUCGACACACGUGACUUAGCCCGGCGCUAGGGCGGCUUCCGAGCC